AAGGACUUAGCUUAAAUUAAAGCGUUUGGUUUGCACUCAAUUGAUGUGAGACUAAGUCUUGCAGUCCUUA
rnacentral:tRNA from 1 species